AAAAAAAAUCCCCCACUCACUGUAAACAUAAACCGUAUUAAAAAAAAAGAGUCUUAGGAUACUCUCUAUUUUUCUUCUCCUCCGCCACAGAACAACGAAAUUGACAAGAGGAGGAUGUCCGGAAGUUGUGAACGGCUCAGUUGGGUCGGAUCGAGGAAGAAACCCGACAACUCUCCACCAUCCGCGAGGCGAACCCACGGCGGAGCUUCUCUUCGUCGGUAGCGGAGAAGGAGAAGACAGACGAAGAGGACGACGCGGUGAAGAUAUAUGAGCAACGGUGGUUUGUUCGUGCAAGACGCUUGCGAAUCAUCUCACCAACCGUGGUUUUCAGUCUACUCCUCGAGAUGAGAGGGUGCAGCAGUCUCUGUUAAUAUCUUUGAUCCUUUUUUUUUAGCUGCUGUUGCUGUUGAAUGAUGAUUCAGGAUGUUUGAUAACUUGUUUAGAUUUGUUCUCAAUAAUCAUCAGAGUAGGGAUUCGAGCAGCUGAUUCAGGGGAUGAUGAAACCGUAUAAAGAGAUCGUGUAAUCAAGGCGUUUAUGAUUCAACGUGGGGAUAAUUCGGCGAAUGAUGAAUCUAUCUAUGGCUGGGACAAGAGAGAGCUUUCCUGAUUUUUGAUGAUACAGAGAAUGCAGCUACGAUUGGAUAUUUUUCCCAAUGAGAGAGCAUUUUAUCUGAAGUAUCAAACUGCUGAUGGAAUAUUUAAGGCAAGGUUUACAUAUGAAACUCUGAAACUGUCUCUACUUUUGGGUAACACACAACGAUAAGUAUUAAGGAA